ensembl:snRNA LOC120100185 U6 spliceosomal RNA
UAUCUUAGGCAGAAAAUAUACUAAAAUUGGAAUGAUACAAAGAUUAGCGUGGCCCCUACACAAGGAUGUCAUGAAAUUCAUGGAAUGUUCUGUAUUUUU